rnacentral:rRNA from 1 species
UACGUAGGGUGCAAGCGUUAAUCGGAAUUACUGGGCGUAAAGCGUGCGUAGUCGGUUAUUUAAGUCGGGUGUGAAAUCCCCGGGCUCAACCUGGGAAUUGCAUUCGAUACUGGAUAGCUAGAGUUCGGCAGAGGGAAGCGGAAUUUCUGGUGUAGCGGUGAAAUGCGUAGAUAUCAGAAGGAACAUCAGUGGCGAAAGCGGCUUCCUGGACCAGAACUGACGAUCAGGCACGAAAGCGUGGGGAGCAAACAGG